rnacentral:rRNA from 1 species
UACGGGGGGAGCAAGCGUUGUUCGGAUUUACUGGGCGUAAAGGGCGCGUAGGCGGCGCAACAAGUCACUUGUGAAAUCUCCGGGCUUAACCGGAGCGGUCAAGUGAUACUGUCGUGCUAGAGUGCGGAAGGGGCUACUGGAAUUCUCGGUGUAGCGGUGAAAUGCGUAGAUAUCGAGAGGAACACCCUGCGGCGAAGGCGGGUAGCUGGGCCGACACUGACGCUGAUGCGCGAAAGCCAGGGGAGCGAACGGG